GACGAACGCUGGCGGCGUGCUUAACACAUGCAAGUCGAACGGAAAGGCCCUGCUUUUGUGGGGUGCUCGAGUGGCGAACGGGUGAGUAACACGUGAGUAACCUGCCCUUGACUUUGGGAUAACUUCAGGAAACUGGGGCUAAUACCGGAUAGGAGCUCCUGCUGCAUGGUGGGGGUUGGAAAGUUUCGGCGGCUGGGGAUGGACUCGCGGCUUAUCAGCUUGUUGGUGGGGUAGUGGCUUACCAAGGCUUUGACGGGUAGCCGGCCUGAGAGGGUGACCGGCAACAUUGGGACUGAGAUACGGCCCAGACUCCUAAGGGAGGCAGCAGUGGGGAAUAUUGCACAAUGGGCGGAAGCCUGAUGCAGCAACGCCGCGUGCGGGAUGACGGCCUUCGGGUUGUAAACCGCUUUCGCCUGUGACGAAGCGUGAGUGACGGUAAUGGGUAAAGAAGCACCGGCUAACUACGUG
rnacentral:rRNA from 1 species